UGGGGAAUUUUGGACAAUGGGCGAAAGCCUGAUCCAGCAAUGCCGCGUGUGUGAAGAAGGCCUUCGGGUUGUAAAGCACUUUUGUCCGGAAAGAAAUCCUCUGGGUUAAUACCUCGGGGGGAUGACGGUACCGGAAGAAUAAGCACCGGCUAACUACGUGCCAGCAGCCGCGGUAAUACGUAGGGUGCAAGCGUUAAUCGGAAUUACUGGGCGUAAAGCGUGCGCAGGCGGUUUGCUAAGACCGAUGUGAAAUCCCCGGGCUCAACCUGGGAACUGCAUUGGUGACUGGCAGGCUAGAGUAUGGCAGAGGGGGGUAGAAUUCCACGUGUAGCAGUGAAAUGCGUAGAGAUGUGGAGGAAUACCGAUGGCGAAGGCAGCCCCCUGGGCCAAAUACUGACGCUCAUGCACGAAAGCGUGGGGGAGCAAAACAGGAUUAGAUACCCUGGUAGUCCACGCCCUAAACGAUGUCAACUAGUUGUUGGGGAUUCAUUUCCUAGUAACGUAGCUAACGCGUGAAGUUGACCGCCUGGGGAGUACGGUCGCAAGAUUAAAACUCAAAUGAAUUGACGGGGUCAUA
rnacentral:rRNA from 1 species